UUAAACAUAAAUAGUUCAGGAGAAGAAGAUGCGUAGGUAAACUUUUCUCUAGGGUAUUGUGAGACUCAGGUCAAUACCCUAGGGCUUCGGGGUCUCCUCCUCUGUAGCCUCCUGUGGAGCUUCUGAAAGAUAGCCACAAGGGGAAAACCCUGAGUACGGGGUACUCAGCAAGUCUUACCCGACUAACCAAUAUAAUAGUUUUCUUUGGAAUGCAUGUCAGCCUUUUGGGUGUGCUUGGUUGACACAACUUUUGCCGAAAAAGCUUACUACAAGUAAGGCCUUAGUUUUAUCUUUUAUUUGAGUUAAGUCAUUACCUAACCAUUCUAAAUGAUAACAAAAGUAAAAGCAACCAUAGCUGUUAAAUCAUACAUUUAUUGACAACAGGAGAUUAUAUUGCAUGAAUUAAUACUACGAUGCUCAACAGUGAUCAAGUGCAUUCAUAACCGAGAAUUGCGGCGAUCCGGAUCUAAUUACAUCCUGCAGGAGAGUACUCUGAUCACCAGCAUUAUACGACUGUCCAGGUUGUAUCUAACAACCUCUCGAUUAGCAAAGUCAAUGAUUAGGAAUACGACUACCCGGACCCAGGGAUGCACCCCCACAUGGGACCCCACGUCUGGCCCGAUCUCCAUGUGAGUUUCAGGCUACACCCCUGCCAAUCUCCAGCACGUCAAGCGCGGGUACGAAGCAUUCCUGAUCAUAGAAUUUACUAAUCUACUGGGCUUUACUGGUCCCAUACCCAGUAAGUGAUCAGAUGCUUAUCACUUGAUCAAAAGUUAAGACACAAAUCGGGCCUUAACCAAAUUAAUCUAGCAGACAGAACUAUAUCUCUAGCUUCUGUCCGCUUUCAAAUUUCCAAGCUAUCCUUCAUAAGCAACAUGUAUGACUUAGGAGUUUUCCUUAAGGUUGGUAAACCAAGCAUGUAAGCAAGUAAGCAAUUCUAGACUUGGGUAGUUUCUAAGGUUUGAACAAGUGGCAAAGAUGUCCUUAAAUCAAGGCAUGAUUAUACACAAGAAUAGGUUUCAAGCAACGCCUAGACUUAGUGCAUACAUAUAGCAAUUAACCUACAACUAGUCACAUGAAAUAACGACUCCAAAAUAGAUAGGUAUAAAUGCACCGGGGCUUGCCUUGUUCGCUAAAAAGAUUAGUAGAAGCUGACGGAUUGGCUUCACAGGGAACAAACUCAAACACUUCUUCGGAUUCCGAAGGUCCUUCUGAGAAUUCCCAAUAAUCUUCUUCCGGUGCUUCGGGAUCUACG
rnacentral:lncRNA from 1 species